rnacentral:rRNA from 1 species
UACAGAGGUCUCAAGCGUUGUUCGGAUUCAUUGGGCGUAAAGGGUGCGUAGGCGGCGCGGUAAGUCGGGUGUGAAAUCUUGGAGCUUAACUCCGAAACUGCAUUCGAUACGUGGCCGUGCUUGAGGACUGGAGGAGGAGACUGGAAUUUACGGUGUAGCGGUGAAAUGCGUAGAUAUCGUAAGGAAGACCAGUGGCGAAGGCGGGUCUCUGGACAGUUCCUGACGCUGAGGCACGAAGGCCAGGGGAGCAAACGGG